rnacentral:rRNA from 1 species
UCCUGCGAACCUCUGAGAAAUCGGGGGGUGCCUUCGGGAGCGCAGAGACAGGUGGUGCAUGGCUGUCGUCAGCUCGUGUCGUGAGAUGUUGGGUUAAGUCCCGCAACGAGCGCAACCCUUAUUUUUAGUUCUAUUGUCUAAAAAGACUGCCGGUGAUAAACCGGAGGAAGGUGAGGACGACGUCAAGUCAUCAUGCCCCUUACACCCUGGGCUACACACGUCCUACAAUGGGUAAGACAAUAAGUUGCAAAUCCGCGAGGACAAGCUAAUCUUUCAAACUUACUCCAAGUACAGAUUGCAGGCUGCAACUCGCCUGCAUGAAGGUGGAAUCGCUAGUAAUCGCUGGUCAGCUACACAGCGGUGAAUUCGUUCCCGGGCCUUGUACACACCGCCCGUCACACCAUGGAAGCUGGUUGUACCCGAAGUCGUUAUCCUAACCGUAAGGAAGGAGAUGCCGAAGGUAAAAUUAGUGACCGAGGUGAAAGCGUAACAAGGUA